AGAGUUUGAUCAUGGCUCAGGAUGAACGCUGGCGGCGUGCCUAAUACAUGCAAGUAGAGCGAACGGACGAGAAGCUUGCUUCUCUGAUGUUAGCGGCGGACGGGUGAGUAACACGUGGAUAACCUACCUAUAAGACUGGGAUAACUUCGGGAAACCGGAGCUAAUACCAGAUAAUAUUUUGAACCGCAUGGUUCAAAAGUGAAAGACGGUCUUGCUGUCACUUAUAGAUGGAUCCGCGCUGCAUUAGUUAGUUGGUAAGGUAACGGCUUACCAAGGCAACGAUGCAUAGCCGACCUGAGAGGGUGAUCGGCCACACUGGAACUGAGACACGGUCCAGACUCCUACGGGAGGCAGCAGUAGGGAAUCUUCCGCAAUGGGCGAAAGCCUGACGGAGCAACGCCGCGUGGGUGAUGAAAGUCUUCGGAUCGUAAAACUCUGUUAUUAGGGAAGAACAUAUGUGUAAGUAACUGUGCACAUCUUGACGGUACCUAAUCAGAAAGCCACGGCUAACUACGUGCCAGCAGCCGCGGUAAUACGUAGGUGGCAAGCGUUAUCCGGAAUUAUUGGGCGUAAAGCGCGCGUAGGCGGUUUUUUAAGUCUGAUGUGAAAGCCCACGGCUCAACCGUGGAGGGUCAUUGGAAACUGGAAAACUUGAGUGCAGAAGAGGAAAGUGGAAUUCCAUGUGUAGCGGUGAAAUGCGCAGAGAUAUGGAGGAACACCAGUGGCGAAGGCGACUUUCUGGUCUGUAACUGACGCUGAUGUGCGAAAGCGUGGGGAUCAAACAGGAUUAGAUACCCUGGUAGUCC
rnacentral:rRNA from 1 species